rnacentral:lncRNA from 1 species
GCCCAGCAUGUGUGAGGCACUGGAUUCGAUUCUUAGCACCACAUAUAAAUAAAUGAAUAAAAUAAAGGUCCAUCAACAUCUAAAAAAAUUUUAAAAUAAAAAGUAGAGGUUGGUGGGACACAGGAAUGAUAAGCUAGCCUGUCCUUCAGAGUUGACAUUCUUGCCCAAUGACCUAAUUUCUCCUGUGUGUUGAAGGAACAGUUGACCCUUGGAAGUGAGGAAGAGGAAAGGGAGGUUGGAAUCUUCUUUGAAAUAUUUGCUAUAGGGAAAGAAAAAGGUCAGCUUGGGAGAAUGUCAAAGGAUUGCCAAACUGCAGGAGACCAGCCUCAAAUUGAACACUAGAAAUGUUGGCCCUCUCCAGAGCAAGAAGUAGCCACAGCCAGAUUCCAGAUUCCACCAAUAAGGUUAGUCUAGUAGAAGGUCAACGGGCAAGUGAAAGGAAAUCCCUGAGGAAAGGGUAGUUGAAGCUACUGUCCACUCUCCACUAUGUCCAUUUGUGGUCAGAGUGGAUAAGAGAAGUCAGGAAGGAAUGUGAGAGUGUAGAGGUGAGGGGUGGGGAGUUGAGGCCUAGAGCUGGCCUGAAGCCAAGGACAGGCUUGGAAAGUAGAAAGAUAACAGUGUGUCAUUUUAGAGGUGAUGGAAAACCUGGUGAUAAGGUUCCAGUGGUGGACAUUUGUUUUUUGUUUGUUUGUAUUCUCUUUUUUUAUUGGUUGUUCAAAACAUUACAAAGUUGUUUUUUUUAAUUGGUUAAAGAGAGAAUCUUUUAAUAUUUACUUUUUAGUUUUC